GGAAGCAAAAGUCGUAACAAGGUUUCCGUAGGUGAACCUGCGGAAGGAUCAUUAUUGAAUAAACCUGAUGUGGUUGUAGCUGGCCCUUUCGGGAGCAUGUGCACACCCGUCGUCUUUAUCUUUCCACCUGUGCACCUUUUGUAGACCUGGAUGUAACACUUUCCGAGGCAACUCGGUCGGGAGGAAUGCUGUCAGCUUUCCUUGAAUGUCCAGGCCUAUGUUUUCAUAUACCCCAAAGAAUGUAACAGAAUGUAUUAUUGGGCCUUGUGCCUAUAAACUAUAUACAACUUUCAGCAACGGAUCUCUUGGCUCUC
rnacentral:misc_RNA from 1 species